UACGUAGGGGUCGAGCGUUGUCCGGAGUUACUGGGCGUAAAGCGUGUGCAGGCGGCUCAUUGCGCCCGGCGUGAAAGCCCCCGGCUCAACCGGGGAGAGUCGUCGGGGACGGGUGAGCUUGAGGGUAUCAGGGGCUGGUGGAAUUCCCGGUGUAGUGGUGAAAUGCGUAGAUAUUGGGAAGAACACCGGUGGCGAAGGCGGCUCUCUGGACCGAUACUGACGCUGAGGCGCGAAAGCGUGGGGAGCAAACAGG
rnacentral:rRNA from 1 species